rnacentral:rRNA from 1 species
GAUGAACGCUGGCGGCGUGCCUAAUACAUGCAAGUCGAGCGAACAGACGAGGAGCUUGCUCCUCGGACGUUAGCGGCGGACGGGAGAGUAACAAGUGGAUAACCUACCUAUAAGACAGGGAUAGCUUCGGGAAACAGGAGCUAAUACCGGAUAAUAUAUUGAACCGCGUGGUUCAAUAGUGUAAGACGGUUUUGCUGUCGCUUAUGGAUGGGUCCGCGCCGCAUUAGGUAGUUGGUAAGGUAACGGCUUACCAAGUCAACGAUGUGUAGCCGACCUGAGAGGGCGACCGGCCACACUGGAACUGAGACACGGCCCAGACUCCUACGGGAGGCAGCAGUAGGGAAUCUUCGGCAAUGGGCGAAAGCCUGACGGAGCAACGCCGCGUGAAUGAUGAAGGCCUUCGGAUCGUAAAACUCUGUUAUUAGGGAAGAACAAAUGUGUAAGUAACUAUGCACGUCUUGACGGUACCUAAUCAGAAAGCAACGGCUAACUACGUG